AGGGUAGGUACCUGCUAAUCUA
rnacentral:tRNA from 1 species